GUGCCUACGGGGGGCUGCAGUGAGGAAUAUUGCGCAAUGGGCGAAAGCCUGACGCAGCGACGCCGCGUGAAGGACGAAGGUCUUCGGAUUGUAAACUUCUGUUAAGCGGGACGAAAGACCCAUUUCUAAUACAAGUGGGGGAUGACGGUACCGCUAGAGAAAGCACCGGCUAAACUCGUGCCAGCAGCCGCGGUAAUACGAGUGGUGCAAGCGUUAUUCGGAAUUAUUGGGCGUAAAGGGCGCGUAGGUGGUAUAUUAAGUCAACUGUUAAAUUCUUCGGCCUAACCGGAGGUGUGCGGUAGAUACUGAUAUGCUUGAGGAUGGAAGAGAGAAGUGGAAUUCUUGGAGUAGCGGUAAAAUGCGUAGAUAUCAAGAGGAACACCAAUGGCGAAGGCAGCUUCUUGGUCCAUUCCUGACACUGAUGCGCGAAAGCGUGGGGAGCAAACAGGAUUAGAUACCCGAGUAGUCAA
rnacentral:rRNA from 1 species